rnacentral:rRNA from 1 species
GACAGAGGGUGCAAACGUUGUUCGGAAUUACUGGGCGUAAAGCGCGUGUAGGCGGCUCUGCAAGUCGGGUGUGAAAUCCCACGGCUCAACCAUGGAAGUGCACUCGAAACUGCAGGGCUAGAGUCCUGGAGAGGAAGGUGGAAUGCUUGGUGUAGAGGUGAAAUUCGUAGAUAUCAGGAGGAACACCGAUGGCGAAGGCAGGUCUCUGGGCUGACACUGACGCUCAUGCACGAAAGCGUGGGGAGCAAACAGG